ACGAACGCUGGCGGCGUGCUUCACCCCUGCCAGUCGCACGGAAAGGCCCUGCUUUUGUGGGGUGCUCGAGUGGCGAACGGGUGAGUAACACGUGAGUAACCUGCCCUUGACUUUGGGAUAACUUCAGGAAACUGGGGCUAAUACCGGAUAGGAGCUCCUGCUGCAUGGUGGGGGUUGGAAAGUUUCGGCGGUUGGGGAUGGACUCGCGGCUUAUCAGCUUGUUGGUGGGGUAGUGGCUUACCAAGGCUUUGACGGGUAGCCGGCCUGAGAGGGUGACCGGCCACAUUGGGACUGAGAUACGACCCAGACUCCUACGGGAGGCAGCAGUGGGGAAUAUUGCACAAUGGGCGGAAGCCUGAUGCAGCAACGCCGCGUGCGGGAUGACGGCCUUCGGGUUGUAAACCGCUUUCGCCUGUGACGAAGCGUGAGUGACGGUAAUGGGUAAAGAAGCACCGGCUAACUACGUG
rnacentral:rRNA from 1 species